rnacentral:rRNA from 1 species
GACAGAGGGUGCAAACGUUGUUCGGAAUUACUGGGCGUAAAGCGUGCGCAGGCGGUUUGUUAAGUUGGUUGUGAAAGCCCCGGGCUCAACCUGGGAACUGCAAUGGAAACUGGCGGGCUUGAGUGUGGCAGAGGGGGGUGGAAUUCCGCGUGUAGCAGUGAAAUGCGUAGAGAUGCGGAGGAACACCGAUGGCGAAGGCAGCCGCCUGGACCAACACUGACGCUCAGGCACGAAAGCGUGGGGAGCAAAUGGG